UGGCCACAUUACAUUGAAAUACCGGUUCCCGUACGAUCACCGAAUUUAAGCAACAUUGAACAUGGUUAGUACUUAGAUGGGUCACCAUUUAGGAAUACCAGGUAU